GAAGGUACUUGCUCCCCCUUCGCCUUCAGCCAUGAUUGUAAGUUUCCUGAGGCAGUGUUUGUCUAAGCAGGAGGGUUUGCCUACUUUAGGUUUGCCCAGUUUGGAUGGAAUGCUAAAUGUUUGCAUGGUCAUUCACGUCUCUUACAAAAUGUCCUGAGUAAGAUUAUUCCAUUUUCGAUUCCCUUGGGUUUUUUUGUUUGUUCGUUUGUCUUUUGAGAUGGAGUCUUGCUCUGUCAACCAGGCUGGAGUGCAGUGGCAC
rnacentral:lncRNA from 1 species